GGGGCUGAUUCUGGAUUCGACGGGAUUAGCGAAGCCCAAGGUGCACGUCGAGGUGCGGUAGGCCUCGUAAAUAAAACCGCAAAAAAAUAAGUCGCAAACGACGAACAAUACGCUUUAGCAGCUUAAUAACCUGCUCAUAGCCUUCUCUCCCCAGCUUCCGCUCGUAAGACGGGGAUCAAGAGGAGUCAAAUUCAAACGAGAUCGCGUGGAUGCCUCCGCUUGAGGAUCGAAGCGUUAAAUUGAAUCAAGCUAGUUUAUCUAUCGCGUGUCUGUCCGCAGUGGGUAAAUGAAAUUAAAGACGAGACUAAACGUGUAGUACUGAAGGUAGAGUAAUUUCGGACGCGGGUUCAACUCCCGCCAGCUCCACCA
rnacentral:tmRNA from 1 species